AGUGACUGACUCCCCCCUCACACACCCUGCACAGAACAUCCCUGCAGGGUCAAACAUAGCAUUACUAGGAUCCCCGGAGCCCUGAACGGCCACUUGAUCUGCUCCAUCUCCGAGCGCUGCGCCUCCUCCGGCCUGCAUUGGUACGACGGAGCCGGCGCGCGGAUCCUGGAGGAAACUGAAGCUGGCAAAAGCAAUAGGCUGAGCAUGCGCAUCAUCUGGCAGCACCGGGGGGCGGCGCUGGAGUGCCGGGUGCAGGGCUACCGGAAUAGGUGCCUCCUCAAAAGGUCCCAGCCUCCAGCCACAGGUGAGUUGCAUUAUGUAUGGGGCCUUCCCUUUCUAGGGGGUGGCAGCUCCCAUCAGGCCCCAGGGCAGGGGCUGGCUGGGGGGCAGGGAAUGGGUCAUGGGGCCUUUCCCCUCUAGCAGGCACUGACUAAUCAGGUCUGAGGGCAGGGGUCUGGCUGGUGCUGGGGGUGGGGAAUGUGAUACGGGACCUUUACCCUGUAGGGGGCGCCAGCUCCCAUCCGGCCCCAAGGUGUGGGACUGGUUGGCUCAGAGUGGCAGGGAAUUGGGUGCGAGGCCUUUCCCCUCUAGGGGGUGCUGGUUCUGACCCAUCUCCAAUGGCCUUUUCAGGCCGGCCCCCCCGCCUGAAGGUCCUGGUGGACAUGGACGGCCCAGGCCCGAUCAGGGAGGGCGACUCAUUCACGCUGAGAUGUGUGGGGGACAGCGGGUCGCUGGACCAGGUCUACUUCUGGAUUCACAAUGAGGAGCUGCACGGGGGCCCCUCUAGGCAGAUUGAAGGGGCGACCUUGUCUGACGGGGGCAAUUACACCUGCAUGAAGUGGGUCUCCGACAUAGGACGUGCUUACCUGGCCAUAUCCCCCACCACCUAUGUGGCCAUCCUUGUCCCCCCUGUGGUGCAUGUGGUGGCCACCCCAGGCCCUCAUCGCAGCACGGGGGAAUCCCUGUCCCUGUCGUGCCGGCUGGACACCAGCGCUUUUGGCGGAUUGGGCUUCUCCUGGUACAAGGAUGGCGAGCGGCUGGGGUGGGCACAGGCAGAACUGGCUUUCCUGGGAGUCCAGGUG
rnacentral:lncRNA from 1 species